UGCCAGCCGCCGCGGUAAGACGAACCGUACAAACAUUAUUCGGAAUCACUGGGCUUAAAGGGUGCGUAGGCGGCGCGGUAAGUUGGGUGUGAAAUCCCUCGGCUCAACCGAGGAAUUGCGCCCAAAACUACCGUGCUCGAGGGAGAUAGAGGUGAGCGGAACUUAGGGUGGAGCGGUGAAAUGCGUUGAUAUCCUAAGGAACACCAGUGGCGAAAGCGGCUCACUAGAUCUCUUCUGACGCUGAGGCACGAAAGCUAGGGGAGCGAACGGGAUUAGAUA
rnacentral:rRNA from 1 species